GUAGGACAUUAUAUUUAUAACCGGGUUCAGCACCUCUAGUCCUUGAGUGCCAGUGUCCUGCAACAUUUGGAUGCCUUCUGGUUCCAAAGUUAAUUCAGGCUUUUCAUCGAGGUGUGUAGGAGCAGGGGUACAUCCAAAGGCUGCAGGAGAGUGUGACUCAAGAACUGUUAAUCAUCGUACGGCUGAUGGGGUUUAAAAGCAGGGAUGUUGAGAGGAAGCAGGACAGGAGCCGGUCACAGGACGACCCCUUUAUCAGCAGUGAGCAGGCUGCGUCUAGGCCUCAACCUCUCGACUAAAUAAUUCCUCUGGAGAACUUUGGUUCUGGCUCAGAUUGUGAGGGCGCUCUCACAGACGGAUGUGUCGAGGUAACUGACCCUGCGGCUGUGGGAAGAUGGUGCAUAUUUUAUCAGAAGUCCAAUUUCUCUGUAAGACUUUAACCGUGACACAUCCAAGUGCUUCGGGAUUUGUGGAAUUUUUCCAGCUAAGGAUGAAGGACAGCUUGGAGGCUUUAUGAAAAAUACUGAACAAAGCGAAAGCAAAGCUCAAACACAAGCAAAAGCCAAAGGUCUGCAAGCAGAAGAACGUGUGAAUACUUAACUUAAAGCUUUUUAAAACACUGAAGUAUUACCCCGAGAUCUGCUUGGAGUUGCUAAAAUCCCUUGAAGAUGUUAAAUUGUUCUCCUAUAUGCUCAUCAUAUGCAGAAGAAAAAGUCCAACAUCUCGAUCUCCAUACAUUGAACUGAGAAAAACUUUUUGCUCACAGUGCUGACUGCUGCUUUUAAUUACUGCAGCACUUUCAGCUGUGGUGACUGUGUUUUAACACAAAUAUGAUAAAUAUGAUAGGUUAUU